UCUAGCACAGCCUCAUGGAACUAGAAGGAAAUCGGGCAUGUUCUACCCUUGGAGGGCUUGGACCAGAGUGCAAGGGUUGCUGGGUGUUCUCCAGAUGGCUCCAGCCAGGAGCAAGCUCAGAAGUGAGCAGCAAAAGAGUUCUAGGGACCAAGCAAGACAGGGGAAUUCCCUCAAGGGACUUCCUCUCAGCAGGUCCCCUCCCCCACCGGGAGUGUGGCUCCCAGAUGCAGCCUGGGUCCCCCCCCAGCAGGGGGCCCUUGGGAUCUCAGCAAAACCCAUGCCCUCUGCCCAGCUACUCAUUGCCUGGUCCAUGCCUCUGCUUUCCAGACCUGUGGCUCAAGCAGGAGACAUGGAUGAAAUGGAAGGGGCCAGGUAUGGCAGGAGGCCUGGCCAGGGGCACCCAGGAAGAUAAGAGCUCUCCUCUGGGGAAGACCUAGGGGUUGACUCCAUGGGAAACUGGACAAGAUCGCCAUCCCUCUGAAAGCUUGGCAAAGAAGGGAAUCCUGGAGACGCAGAGGGCUCUCACAGCAGAGAAGGGAUCCCCAGGCGGAGCCAGGGUGCCAACGGCUCCAGGCGCAAGUCGGGGAGAAACCCUAAGGACCACCCCCACCCCCAGGGAGUCGCCACCAAGAAAAGGGACACGGAGAAGAGAAGGACAGGAGGAUCCUGCCCUGAUCGCCAGAGAGGACCGCUUGCCGCAGAUGCGGCCAGGACAGGCGGGAGGCCGGGCCCGCCUCCCCAAAGCGCCGUCGGCAGAGCCACUGGCGGGGCCCUGGCGGGGCUCCAGUCCCGGCUCUUCAACCACGUGGGCACGCCGGACCUGGCUCUGGGCAAGCUGCGGGCU